rnacentral:rRNA from 1 species
AUGGGUUCUAGGGAUUUCGAAUUAUUCAACCAGGCUAUGCUGGCGAAACAAGGUUGGAGGUUGCUUACAUCACCAGAUUCUCUAUGCGCUAGAGUCUUAAAGGGUAAGUACUAUUAUGAUCAUGAAUUUAUGUCAGCUAAGAACAAAAGAGGAUCUUCGCAUAUUUGGAGAGCCAUUCUUCAUGGCCGAGAGGGUCUAAAAUUAGGCCUGAUAAAGAGGGUUGGUGAUGGUUCUUCUAUUCACCCAUGGGAGGAUCCAUGGAUUCCUUUUAACCAUGGUUUCAAACCCCUAGUUCAGCUUCCUGGUGCAGCUAUCAGUAGGGUGGAAGAAUUGAUUGACGCAGACAAUGAUGAAUGGAAUAUGAAUCUAUACCUACUAUUAAAACAAGGUGAUAUUCUUGGUUUCGUCUCGUGA